CAACUACCCAAGAUUUAGGGCCUGGAUUACCUGAUUGCCCACUGCAACCCUGAGCCUGUAGGAUUUGCUCAUGCAGAACCAGUUGCAAGCCAUCACCCAAUCCCCACCCCCUGACCAUUGAGCUUCCUUAGAAGUAUGCCAAACACCACACCAGACAACCUGCUCCCGCCACCCAACCAGCUAUCACUAUCCACAAGCAGCGAUGCAGAUACCUGUCAUCAGAGGAAGGCUCUGACACCCCAGGACUAAAUCUGUCUAAUGGCAUCUCUCAAUACUGUCACUAGAGCAGUUCCACAGCCACCCAUUUGUGCUUGUCCCAUGUUGCCCCUAAGGAGGAUCUGGUAAGCCAGCAGAUCCCAUGCCUAAUCCGGAUGGUGGUGGCCAGGACUCUCAGGAGUAAAAUCCCUGGGAAUGCAUCGAGGUCUUGGUGAACCAGAACAAGGCCAUGGUGUGGCAGAUAAAGGGGUUAUAAAGGCAGCAUGUAGAGGCUCACUGCUUCACUGGGGCACGUGGACUGUG